CCUACGGGCGGCAGCAGUGGGGAAUAUUGCACAAUGGGGGGAACCCUGAUGCAGCGACGCCGCGUGAGUGAAGAAGUACUUCGGUUUGUAAAGCUCUAUCAGCAGGGAAGAAAAUGACGGUACCUGACUAAGAAGCCCCGGCUAACUACGUGCCAGCCGCCGCGGUCAUACGUAGGGGGCAAGCGUUAUCCGGCUUUACGGGGUGGAAAGGGGGCGUAGACGGUGAUGCAAGUCGGAAGUGAAAGCCCAAGGCUCAACCCUGGGACUGCUUUGGAAACUGUAAAACUGGAGUGCAGGAGAGGUAAGCGGAAUUCCUGGUGUAGCGGUGAAAUGCGUAGAUAUCAGGAGGAACACCAGUGGCGAAGGCGGCCUACUGGACUGUAACUGACGUUGAGGCUCGAAGGCGUGGGGAGCAAACAGGAUUAGAUACCCGGGUAGUC
rnacentral:rRNA from 1 species